rnacentral:sRNA from 1 species
UAUUUUAAAUAAUUACCUAAGACAGUAGGAGUACACAGUGCUUAAAACAUCAUCCUGCCGAGGCAACGAAAACGACUUGAAUCUUAUUUUUAAAUAUUCAAGCACUUUUUGCCGUGGGUAAAAGGUGCUUUUUUAAU